UACGUAGGGACCAAGCGUUGUUCGGAUUUACUGGGCGUAAAGGGCGCGUAGGCGGCUAAUUCAAGUCAUCUGUGAAAUCUCCGGGCUUAACUCGGAACGGUCAGAUGAUACUGCUUUGCUAGAGUGGCGGAAGGGGCAAUCGGAAUUCUUGGUGUAGCGGUGAAAUGCGUAGAUAUCAGGAGGAACACCAAUGGCGAAGGCAGCACUCUGGUACGUGACUGACGCUGAGACGCGAAAGCGUGGGGAGCAAACAGG
rnacentral:rRNA from 1 species